rnacentral:rRNA from 1 species
GAUGAACGCUGGCGGCGUGCCUAAUACAUGCAAGUCGAGCGAACAGACGAGGAGCUUGCUCCUCUGACGUUGGCGGCGGACGGGUGAGUAACACGUGGAUAACCUACCUAUAAGACUGGGAUAACUUCGGGAAACCGGAGCUAAUACCGGAUAAUAUAUUGAACCGCAUGGUUCAAUAGUGAAAGACGGUUUUGCUGUCGCUUAUAGAUGGAUCCGCGCCGCAUUAGCUAGUUGGUAAGGUAACGGCUUACCAAGGCAACGAUGCGUAGCCGACCUGAGAGGGUGAUCGGCCACACUGGAACUGAGACACGGUCCAGACUCCUACGGGAGGCAGCAGUAGGGAAUCUUCCGCAAUGGGCGAAAGCCUGACGGAGCAACGCCGCGUGAGUGAUGAAGGUCUUCGGAUCGUAAAACUCUGUUAUUAGGGAAGAACAAAUGUGUAAGUAACUAUGCACGUCUUGACGGUACCUAAUCAGAAAGCCACGGCUAACUACGUG